GAUGAAGAACGCAGUGAAAUGCGAUACGUAAUGUGAAUUGCAGAAUUCAGUGAAUCAUCGAGUCUUUGAACGCACAUUGCGCCCCCUGGUAUUCCGGGGGGCAUGCCUGUCCGAGCGUCAUUACAACCCUCAAGCUCAGCUUGGUGUUGGGCCCCGCCGCCCCGGCGGGCCCUAAAGUCAGUGGCGGUGCCGUCCGGCUCCGAGCGUAGUAAUUCUUCUCGCUCUGGAGGUCCGGUCGUGUGCUCGCCAGCAACCCCCAAUUUUUUUCAGGUUGACCUCGGAUCAGGUAGGGAUACCCGCUGAACUUAAGCAUAUCAAUAAGCGGAGGA
rnacentral:misc_RNA from 1 species